ACUCUGUCCCUUCUUGUAGAUGGCAGUUGUGUUGAAGGACCAGUCCAGCUUUUCAUCCAGGUGGACACCCAGGUACCUAUAACUAGACACCACCUCAAUGUCAGCACCAUCUAUGUUAACAGGCAGGGGGCGAGAUUUGGAUUUACUGGGGGUAUGCAAAGUUGGGUUAUAAUUUGGGAACAAUACUGUAAAAUGUGCUGUAUAAUGGUUAGUCAAAUCCAUAUCACCUUGGAUAAGGAAAUAGGAGUUGUUUCACGAUAUGCUGACAAUUUAUAGUGAUCUGUGAAACCAUCCAUCAUCAUCUACCAGGCUCAAUCCUCAUUCGAAGUGGGGGGCGGGGGCUGGAGUCUAUCCCAGCUGACUCAGGGUGAAGGCAGGAGACACCCUGGACAGGUCACUAGUCUAUCACAGGACUACACAUAGAGACAAACAGUCACACUCACAUUCACAUCUAUGGACAAUUCAGAAUUACCAACUAACCUGUGCAUGUUUCUAAACUGUGGGAGUAAGCCAGUGAACCCAGAGAAAACCUACACAUGCACAGAGAGAACAUGCAAACUCCAAUCAGAAAGAUCCCAGGUCCAGGCCAGGACACGAACCAGUAAUCUUCAAGCUGAAAGGCAAAAGUGCUAACCACCAAGGCACUGUGCAGCCCACUAGUUAAUCAGUUUAUCCAAAAAAUAUUUCCAAAUAAUCUUGGACAUGCUCUGCCAUUCAGGUAUAAUUGGCAGCACUGAAUGCACAAUAAAUAGCCUCCUUCUCAGCAGUUACUGAAGAAGAAGAUGGUUCCCCUACUUUUUUUUUUUUUUUGGUUCCCCUACUUAUGUGAGAGCCUCCCAAGACAACAGCUCCUCCUGCCUUGUCUGACCGACUCAUUCAGGCAAAAAAAGAAAAAACAUCCGCAACCCAAUAAACAUCAAGCCUGUGCUCGUCAGCAUCGCUUCAUGCUGUGACUCAACACUCGCAUCACAUCACCGACACAUUUCAUAACAUGUCACAGACGACAAAUGGGAUGGGAGUGAAGCAUAGAGCUGACCUGAUGAACCAGGCAGCAAACUACUGCACAAGAUACUCUGAGCACCUUACCUCAACUGUUCAGGCAGUUUUAGGCUAUAGCAACUGCUAAAGUGAUAACCGUUUGUUCUUCCAUUUGGCACAGAUGUUCCGAGGAUGUAAAUUUUCCACAUCUGAGUUUUGCGUCAUAUUAAAAUCUUUAGUGGGGCUUAAAGCGUUCUCCUUCUUGUUGUUUCCUAAGUAAAAGUCGAAGAAGUUUAAAUCUGGAGCAACUAACAAACGUACAGACAUAUUCACAGAGCUGUGCUGCGACUGUGGCUAAAAACAAAUCUAUCAAGUCACCACCAAGAAUGUAGGGCUGCUGUCAACAGCCAGCCCGGUCUCACGGGGAUUCGUGAAACAACAGCUGGGGAGAUAAAGACAGAGGUUCUUAAAGGCACAGUUUUACUGAAUUUAUAAAGUACACCGUCAUCCUAAAAGCUAUUCUACUAUAAUGGAUAAAAUGCCGGAAAAUGUACAAAAAUUAUGAGUGACACCAUGGCGGUGAAUUUAACAGUGACAGAUUUGCUUUCUUUUAUUACCUCCUGCAGCACAGACACACAUUGGUGGCUGACAGAAUCCACUGUAGUAACAUCUCCACCGACUAGAAUCACAGACAGACGCAAUCUAUGAAAGAGAGGGAGCCGGAUUGGAGAUGGAUUGGUAAGUGGUGAUGAAUGAGCUGCAGCUGCAUUGACAUUCACAAGGACAAGACACAAAGAAUGUUCAACUCCCACACAGGAGGAUGAGUGAAGUUCAUCGAGAUUUUCCUCUGAGAUUGACACAAAGAGAAAGAAAGUAAGAAGUCAGGUUCACUGAAAGCCCCAAGAGGAGGACGAGGAAGUGACUCAGUAAGCAGGAAUUUAAUUUACAAGGCAAACAACGUCUACAUGUUCAUAUUCAAACCUCUUCUUUUUUAGAUUCACAGACUGAGUGGUUUAGAAUCAAACUGCCAGUCUCUUACUUGCAUAACUACUAGAUUAUUUUGGAUGGGCAUGUUUUGUUAAAUUUCAUGUCAAGAACAGUAUAGCUUGCGGCAACCCUUAAAUUGGUGUGCAAGCUUGCAGGGAUGUGAGAGGUGAUGUGUAUGCCUUCCAAUGAAUAAUUAUGAUGUAAUGUAGGAUGGUAGCGCUGCCAUCCAUUUGUUGGUGACUGUGUGCUGGAUGAAUACAACAACUGGAACUGACAUUAAAAGUUUAGUAUUUGCUGGGUAUAUGUAGACAAAGGUCGUCUGUUGUGCGUCUUACCUUGCAAUGUUCAGAAUUGUUUCCAAAGGUUUUUUGUUUUUUUUUGGAGUUUGCAUGUUCUCCCUGUGCAUGCGUGGGUUUUCUCCUGGUACUCCGGCUUCCUCCCACAGUCCAAAAAUAUGCUGAGGUUAAUUGAUUAUUCUAAAUUGCCCGUAGGUGUGAAUGUGAGUGUAUUAUUAUAUCAUUUCCAAUGGUAGAAAUCUUUAGAAAAUUCUUGGAUCCAGAUUACAAGCCACAUCACUGCCAAAAUCUAAUCACUUGGUCUUUGUGUCAUUUCUGACCUUUCUUGAAAAUUUCAUCCAAAUCCAUUUGUUUUUGAGUAAUGUUGCUAACAGACAGACAAACAAACGGCCGUUGUCACAUUACUCCACAGAGGUUCCGCAUCCUUGGUGGAGUAACUAUGUAUUCUGUCAUCUAAUGUUUUGCUAAAAUCCAAAGAAAAGAAGCAACGAAAUCAAAAAUGUGACUCAGUGUUCCAUCCAUUUUCUGUACACUGCUUUAUCUACUGCAGGGUCACUGGAUUCUAUCCCAGCUGACAGGGCUGACACCCUAGACAGGUGACAGACAAAAGGAGAACAUGCAAACCUUUCACAGGAAGACUCCAGGCUGAGAUUCAGACCCGGGACCGUCAAGCUGUGAGUCCACAGUGCUAACCAAAUCACUACUGACUCACAGGUGAAGAAAUAAACUGCAAGUAUUAAAGACUUAGAAAAUUAUGAAUUCUAUUUCUGUUUCAAAUAACAAAACAUAUUGGCACGUACCAAGCCAUUUACAUCACAUUCUGUCAUAAGUAAAAGGUUGGGGGCCAUGAACAAUGAUUACACAGGGUUAAACUACCUCUCAGCACUAACUCAGGGUUCAAACUUCUUUGUAUUAGGCUGAAUGUGCAGCAGCAUGUCAAAGAUCAACAUCCAUGCCCUGUGGAUUCACAGCGGAGGGCUUCUCUUCCUUGAGCAUGUCCUGAACCAAAUCCAAAAUUAAAGCUGCAAGCAGCGAUGGACGGGUCCUCGCAUCCACGCUGGUCGGCGAAUCCAUGCACGUCCACCAGGUGGCACUGUGACUGAGAGUGUGUGCUGGCCUCUGAAUCACAUCUGGACCAGAGUUUAAUCACACGUAAAAUUUCAGCCAGAUUGGAGCAUGUUCAGACUAGUUAUACAGCAUUUCCUGCCCAUCCACCACCAGGUGGCGCUGUAACUCAGAGUGUAUUUCAAACAGUGGAUGUGAUGAGGGCUGGACUCUGAUCACUCAUGAAAAGUUUCAGGCUGAUUUGAUCAUGUAGAGGCCAGUUAUACAGCAUUUAUUGUCCCUCCAACAGGUGGCGCUGCAACUGAGAGUGUCUGUUGGCCUGUAGAUGUGAUCAGGAUUGGAUUGUGAUCACACAUGGAAAGUUUGAGGCAGAUUGGAGCAUGCAGAGGAGAGUUAUACAACAGUUGAUGUUUCAUGGCGAAGCAUCAAAACUCUGAUGGUCGCCAUGGCCACGCCAUUUGGCUUCUGGUUAAACUUUUGAUAACUUUUUAUCACCAAGUCCUGCUGUGUGGACUGACAAAAUUUCAGGUCUCCUGGAAUUAUCCCCUUGGAGGUAUUAACUCUCAAAAAUGAGAAAAAUCAUCAAAAAUCUCACAAUUAAUCCAAGAUGGCCGACUUCCUGUUGGGUUUAGGACAUGGCUCCAAGAGGCUUUUUUGUGCGUCCUGAUGUGCUCUAUAAGCCUCCCAAACUUCAUGGAUGUAGGUGAAAUGUGCUGGGGGGGCUGUUUGUUAAAAAUACUGUAGGGGGCGCUAUAGCAUGUGCAGUGCCGAGAUGCAUACUGUGUCGUUCCUUGGGUCGAUGGUGAUGUGUGUGGUAAUUUUAGUGAGCAUUGGAGUAUUUCUAACCUGUCAAAUAGCACUUUGUUUUGUAUGGCGAUAUUUGGUUGCUACGGCAACAGCGUUGCAUGAAAUGUCACACCCUUCACAGUGUGUGAUUGUCAAGAGGUGAAGACUCGACUGACCAAUUUCCAGCAUGAUAUCACCACGUUUGGGACCAUUGUACCUGAAAAUAUAAGGCCUUAAACUUACUAUUACCAACAGGUGGCGCUAUGACUUUUUCAAAAUUUAUGAGUGUGGAUGUGUUCAGACUGGACCUGGUAUCCAGCAUGUGAAGUCUGAGGCAGAUAGGAUGUUGUUCAGCUGAGAUAUGAAUCGUUAAAUUUUCAUGGCGAAACAUCGAAAUUGGUUUGGCCGCCACAGACACGCCCUUUGAUGACAAGUCACCAUUUUCAC